UACGUAGGCAGCAAGCGUUGUUCGGAGUUACUGGGCGUAAAGGGCGCGUAGGCGGCUCGGCACGUCCGUUGUGAAAUCGCCCGGCUCAACUGGGCGGGGUCAGCGGAUACGGUCGAGCUUGAGCAAGCUAGGGGGCAAUGGAAUUCCCGGUGUAGUGGUGGAAUGCGUAGAUAUCGGGAGGAACACCAGUGGCGAAGGCGGUUGCCUGGGGCUUUGCUGACGCUGAUGCGCGAAAGCGUGGGGAGCGAUCCGG
rnacentral:rRNA from 1 species